CGAAAUUCCAUCACAAUACAAAAUUAAAAUUAGAUCAUAAACUAUUCAAUUACCUUCAACUUUGUUUCUGCAGCUUUGUUCACCUAUUGGAGGAAAGGUACAGGAAUAGGCUCACAAAUAACAGUACUACAUUCCAGCAACCAUUGCAUGGAAAAAUGAGAGGUUGAAGGAAUACGUCACGACAUGUAUGCAAACUUAAAGAGGCAUUAUAGUGUCUGGAACACAAACGUG